AAUUGAUCGGGUCUUGCAUCUACAAAUGAAACGGUAAUUCAAAUCUUAUUCAUAUUGCCAAAAAUGCUUGAUAUCAACUGAUAGAAGCUUCUCUUGCUAGGGAUUUAAACAUGUCAUUGAACAGUGAGGCUUAGAUUUGAAUAGCCAAAACAAUAUUACUUUUGAGUGGUAUUUUGUUUAAUUUUGGUAAAGUUAGCCGUAGGCUACUUCUGAAUUUGAGAAACAACACUUAUUAAAAAAUUGACUUUAACCAAACCAUAGGAUUAUUUGAACAUCGACUAUCCAAGAUGGUUUUGGUGAGUUUUAUUUUGUUUGUGUCGACUUUUAAUGAAAAGUGUUUUACAAACAGUUAACAAGAAAAUAAAGCUAAUUGUAGUUUGGUUAAAGUUGAAAAGUCAAGGCUUUGCAUUUUUCUUUUUAAACGCCAAAUUGGUGUGAAAAUAUUGUCCUUCUGGACUCUUUGUGAAUGCAAUGUGUGUACUAGUUUGUGGGAGUACUACUACAUAUGUAAAAAGAGAGGUGUAAAUAUUUUUUUGGCUCAAAGGAAGCUGCAUGUAAGCUACGUGUGACAACAUGGAGUUAAAAAGAUAAAUUGUUACCCUUAAAAUUUUGAAUGUUAAAUCUAUUUAGAAGUUUGAUUGUAGGUACCUCGUUCACGUCUUGGUUACAUUCCACCUAGUGUUUACUAAUUAUUGUCCUUUUUAUAAAUUUUCUUCUUAAAAAUCUUAUUAUGGUAAGGAUAAUGUAUUUGUUCCCUUCAGGUAUCUGCCACUGCAGCUGACGUUGAGACAACUCUCAGUCUUCCUGCAAGUCCUCGCCUGAUACCUGUUUCAAGUGCAACAAGGCAAGUCACAAUUAAGGGUUGGAUGAUCACCUUUAAGGGCUCUGAGGGCAUCACACCAACAUUUGCAAUUGGACUUGCUGCUAUGUUUGCAACCUACUACAUUUUCAGCCUUCAGUAUCAAGAUGAGACAGCCUGCCCUCUGGAAUUCAUUCAGAGGCACUUCAUUGAUAUAAAUCAAGAGAGAGGAACAAAUGCCAAAAUCAUCAGACAAGAUUGUCUCUAAGAAGAAAGGUGUGAUCGUCCAGAAGUCGUCUUCUGCAGUUAAAUACACACGUGGCCAUGCUACUGAAGAAUCUCCUUGACUUUUUAUUGGAACUUCAUAUAGAUCGUGGCAGCACUGGAAUAAUGCUGCAGAGAGGAACAGCGGCUACUAAAGUGAUGAUCGUCUCUUCUGGAUCCACAAGAACUAAGAUGUAAAAACACAAACCUUCCUCACAGGACAAUUUUAAGAGGUAACCUGCAAGUCUAGCUUGCAGUGGCACAUGUGCCUAUACGGUUUCAUCCUAAAUGUUUUUUAUGCUUAUUAUUGAUACAUCCUGACAAAAUGUUCUACUGUACUAUAAUAGUUUCAAAAUGGCCUUAGGUAUGUUUUCAAAAAGUAAACUAUAGGUUAUGCCCUUCACAUUUGGUUAGGAUUAGGGGCAGUCUCUGACGAGCAAUUUAAGAACGUACGUUUAUUGCCAUAGUCUAAAGCAAGAAACUACUGUUUCUGUUUACUACUAGAAAGCUUUUUCAACAUUGUCCAACAGGAUUUAUUUUCUUUCCUUUUUUGUAUUCAUGUUGACAUUGACAUUUCUCUUUGAAAUAAAGGUGUUUGAUUUGAAAGUUUUUGUUGCUUAUUUUGCAUAAUAUUCACAAUAAUGCAUAUCUUAAGCAGUUGUCUUUAGCCCUGGGAAUUCAUUGGGCAAGUUCAUGGGAGACUGAUAUUUUAAAUAUCAAUGAAGAAUUUUUAGAGACUAAAUUUAUGUUAUUUCAAAAA